AGUGAACGCUGGCGGUAGGCCUAACACAUGCAAGUCGAACGGCAGCACAGUAAGAGCUUGCUCUUACGGGUGGCGAGUGGCGGACGGGUGAGGCAUACAUCGGAAUCUACUUUUUCGUGGGGGAUAACGUAGGGACACUUACGCUAAUACCGCAUACGACCUACGGGUGAAAGCAGGGGAUCUUCGGACCUUGCGCGAUUGAAUGAGCCGAUGUCGGAUUAGCUAGUUGGCGGGGUAAAGGCCCACCAAGGCGACGAUCCGUGGCUGGUCUGAGAGGAUGAUCAGCCACACUGGAACUGAGACACGGUCCAGACUCCUACGGGAGGCAGCAGUGGGGAAUAUUGGACAAUGGGCGCAAGCCUGAUCCAGCCAUACCGCGUGGGUGAAGAAGGCCUUCGGGUUGUAAAGCCCUUUUGUUGGGAAAGAAAAGCAGCAGGUUAAUACCCCGCUGUUCUGACGGUACCCAAAGAAUAAGCACCGGCUAACUUCGUG
rnacentral:rRNA from 1 species